UACGUAGGGUGCAAGCGUUAAUCGGAAUUACUGGGCGUAAAGCGCGUGUAGGCGGCCCGGAAAGUUGGAUGUGAAAGCCCUGGGCUUAACCUAGGAAGUGCAUUCAAAACUGCCGGGCUUGAGUUCUGGAGAGGAAGGCGGAAUUCUCGGUGUAGAGGUGAAAUUCGUAGAUAUCGAGAGGAACACCGGUGGCGAAGGCGGCCUUCUGGACAGUGACUGACGCUGAGACGCGAAAGCGUGGGGAGCAAACAGG
rnacentral:rRNA from 1 species